UGGGGAAUAUUGCACAAUGGGCGCAAGCCUGAUGCAACCAUGCCGCGUGUGUGAAGAAGGCCUUCGGGUUGUAAAGCACUUUCAGCGAGGAGGAAGGGUUCAGUGUUAAUAGCACUGUUCAUUGACGUUACUCGCAGAAGAAGCACCGGCUAACUCCGUGCCAGCAGCCGCGGUAAUNCGGAGGGUGCAAGCGUUAAUCGGAAUUACUGGGCGUAAAGCGCACGCAGGCGGUUUGUUAAGUCAGAUGUGAAAUCCCCGCGCUUAACGUGGGAACUGCAUUUGAAACUGGCAAGCUAGAGUCUUGUAGAGGGGG
rnacentral:rRNA from 1 species